GAUCAUGGCUCAGGAUGAACGCUGGCGGCGUGCUUAACACAUGCAAGUCGAGCGAAGCACUCUGCUUUGAUUCUUUCGGGAUGAAGAGCAUUGUGACUGAGCGGCGGACGGGUGAGUACGCGUGGGUAACCUGCCUCAUACGAGGGGGAUAACAGUUAGAAAUGGCUGCUAAUACCGCAUAAGACCACAGCACCGCAUGGUGUAAGGGGUAAAAACUACGGUGGU
rnacentral:rRNA from 1 species